rnacentral:rRNA from 1 species
AGAGUUUGAUCCUGGCUCAGGACGAACGCUGGCGGCGUGCCUAAUACAUGCAAGUCGAACGGUCUUUUCUAUGGAAGCUUGCUUCCACUGAGAAGAUAGUGGCGAACGGGUGAGUAACACGUGGGUAACCUGCCCAUAAGAGGGGGAUAACAUCCGGAAACGGGUGCUAAUACCGCAUAGUUUUCUUGAUCGCAUGAUCGAGAAAGGAAGGACGGCCUUUGUGCUGUCGCUUAUGGAUGGACCCGCGGCGUAUUAGUUAGUUGGUGAGGUAAUGGCUCACCAAGACGAUGAUACGUAGCCGACCUGAGAGGGUGAUCGGCCACAUUGGGACUGAGACACGGCCCAAACUCCUACGGGAGGCAGCAGUAGGGAAUCUUCCGCAAUGGACGAAAAGUCUGACGGAGCAACGCCGCGUGAGUGAAGAAGGKUUUUCGGAUCGUAAAACUCUGUUGUCAGAGAAGAACAAGUCGGAAAAUAACUGCUCCSGCCUUGA